AAAUGUUCUAGAAAACAAAUUCCAAAAAAGUAAAUACUUAUCUACCUUAAUGGACCACCCGGUAUAAUGUAUAGUUAUUUUUUUUUUUUUUUAAUUGCACCUUACACCAGUUAAAAAUUUUUUUUCUAGUGCUAAUUAUUGAUUAUUUUACGCAUAAUUUGAACCCGGAAAAUUUGUUCAAUACAUAUACUUAGGUAUAUUCUCACAAUUACAAUAUAAAUAUUAAUCAGUAACUUAUGAUUAGUACCUAUAAUAUAUUUUUUAAAAAUUUAAAACUUCACAUUAUCUAUUUAAAUCGAUUGGAUGUUAAAUGUCCGAUAAUUUAAAAAGUUCUUAACAUAGAUCACUAAGUCACACAAUGUCAUUUAGAGUUUAUAGUAACAGACUUAUCAAUAAUGUAUUACAAACAUAUUGAAUAUAAUAACAAUAAUAAACAUCACUGCAAUAAUGCAUUUUACUUUUA